UCAAAAGAACAAUCCUUCAAUCCCCAAAAUUAAUAUUCUAAAUAAACUAUCCUUUG
rnacentral:tRNA from 1 species